rnacentral:tRNA from 1 species
CCAGCACUAACAGCAGCAGCAAACCGAUAAUCACCAGCCCGAAUCCACUCACGCUCGCGGAAGCGACCGGCGUCA